GAUGAACGCUGGCGGCGUGCCUAAUACAUGCAAGUAGAACGAGUUGCGAACGGGUUAGUAACGCGUGGUAACCUGCCUCAUAGCGGGGGAUAACUAUUGGAAACGAUAGCUAAUACCGCAUACUGUGAGAUGGACCUGCGUUGUAUUAGCUAGUUGGUGAGGUAAAGGCUCACCAAGGCGACGAUCCCGAGCUGGUCUGAGAGGAGGACCAUCAACACUGGAACUGAGAGACGGUCCAGACUCCUACGGGAGGCAGCUGUGGUGAAUAUUGCACAAUGGGCUCAAGCCUGAUGCAGCCAUGCCGCGUGUAUGAAGAAGGCCUUCGGGUUGUAAAGUACUUUCAGCGAGGAGGCGUUACUCGCAGAAGAAGCACCGGCUAACUCCGUGCCAGCAGCCGCGGUAAUAC
rnacentral:rRNA from 1 species